CGCGUCAUUAAUCCGUAAAAUAAAUAUAAACGCAGACGAAAAUUUAGCGUACGCUGCCUAGUGGCAGCAGUCGACCUUAAGCCACUCGCUGCUUAAGAAUUCGGCUUCGAACUUGCGGGGCACUUUACUUUUAAAGCUUUGAAAAAGUAAAAGAAUUUAUGAAGCUACUAAAAUCCAAAGCCUGUCAUUAGGCGCUGGACAGAGGGAAUGUUAAAAUAAUGACUGUAAUGGGAGAUGCCAUGAUGGAAGAGCUUUCGGACAGGGGUUCGAUUCCCCUCAGCUCCAUAU
rnacentral:tmRNA from 1 species